GGGGCACUGCCCUGGAAAGGUAGGGCGGCGGGCUCCAGACCCGUAGGACGUGGGUUCGAGUCCCACCGGCCCCACCA
rnacentral:tRNA from 1 species